rnacentral:misc_RNA from 1 species
AGCAUGUUCAAACAACUCUCUUGCUCGUUCCAGUUUUGUCUUCCCAUAUCUCUUUACAAACUUUGAAAGAUAUGUGACCCAUAUGUCUUUCACGUGAGGGUACUUGAAUAUUUUCACACCCCUUUCAUAUACCUUGAAUGCAUCUUCAAAGUACUUAUGUUCUUCUAGAAGUAAUGCAUAAUUGAUAAUGAUUUGUGGUGUGGCUAUUCUCAGGUCCAAUAUCCGCUCAUAAACAGCUCGAGUGGACUCCAAGGUCCCAAGACCCUCUUCCAAAUCAACAUAAAAGGUCCAGAGUCUCAAGGACUU